GAUGAACGCUGGCGGCGUGCCUAAUACAUGCAAGUCGAGCGAAUGGAUUAAGAGCUUGCUCUUAUGAAGUUAGCGGCGGACGGGUGAGUAACACGUGGGUAACCUGCCCAUAAGACUGGGAUAACUCCGGGAAACCGGGGCUAAUACCGGAUAACAUUUUGAACCGCAUGGUUCGAGAUUGAAAGGCGGCUUCGGCUGUCACUUAUGGAUGGACCCGCGUCGCAUUAGCUAGUUGGUGCGGUAACGGCUCACCAAGGCAACGAUGCGUAGCCGAACGGGGAGGGGGAUCGGCCAGACGGGGACUGGGACACGGCCCAGACUCCUACGGGAGGCAGCAGUAGGGAAUCUUCCGCAAUGGACGAAAGUCUGACGGAGCAACGCCGCGUGAGUGAUGAAGGCUUUCGGGUCGUAAAACUCUGUUGUUAGGGAAGAACAAGUGCUAGUUGAAUAAGCUGGCACCUUGACGGUACCUAACCAGAAAGCCACGGCUAACUACGUGCCAGCCGCCGCAGUAA
rnacentral:rRNA from 1 species